rfam:Physcomitrella patens subsp. patens PHYPAscaffold_57 genomic scaffold, whole genome shotgun sequence.
UAAGAGGCUUUUAUUAAAGCCAUUUUUAGAUAAUUCAAAUUAUAAU